UAGUUACAGGACUCACGUCGCCGAUAUAAGCGACUGGUUCAUAUCGAUCCUAGGAACUGUUUAUCGUGCGAAACAAUAACAUCGCAGAUAUAGCAACCCUAGUAAGAGAAUCCUGUAAAAGUGAAGGAAUUAUCCUAAAAUUAAUUGGCUUAAGAAAUACAUUUUACGUUUAUGAACAUGAAAAUCGAAUAAUACGAACGAGCACCAUAUCGUCUGUCUCCAUCAGCUGUCCUAAUAUUUACAGAGUGGAAGAGAAGUUGCUGCAGCUGCAAGCCAGCAUUGUCGGGACGUGGCACAGGACAGGGAGCGCUGGAUUUUCAUUUCGAAGGAUUUUUUUAUCUCAGAGCCAGCGAAGUGUGUGACUAACUGUUAUGUUUGCAAGUCUGUUCAAGCAUAUUUUUCUAUAUCACUGAGUGUGUCAAGCGAUGGCAAGCUCAAUAAAACAAAAUCACAAGCUCUACAAAUAAAACUUUAUCCUUUAUAUUUUCAGUCAUAUAAAGUCAGAAUAAUUAGUAAACUUUUAUGAAUAUUCUCUUUGAAUAACGCAGAACUCAUGUUUAAAUCAUGGAGUAUUUCAAUUUGUUUAUGCGUUUCGUUUAUACAUGCGAAUAUCGGUUGAAAA